AGCGAACGCUGGCGGCAGGCUUAACACAUGCAAGUCGAGCGGGCCUUUCGGGGUCAGCGGCGGACGGGUGAGUAACGCGUGGGAACGUGCCCUCUGGUUCGGAAUAACUCAGGGAAACUUGAGCUAAUACCGGAUACGCCCUUUUGGGGAAAGGCUUGCUGCCGGAGGAUCGGCCCGCGUCUGAUUAGCUAGUUGGUUAGGUAACGGCUCACCAAGGCGACGAUCAGUAGCUGGUCUGAGAGGAUGAUCAGCCACACUGGGACUGAGACACGGCCCAGAGUCCUACGGGAGGCAGCAGUGGGGAAUAUUGGACAAUGGGCGCGAGCAUGAUCCAGCCAUGCCGCGUGAGUGAUGAAGGCCUUAGGGUUGUAAAGCUCUUUUAUCCGGGACGAUAAUGACGGUACCGGAGGAAUAAGCCCCGGCUAACUUCGUG
rnacentral:rRNA from 1 species